UGGAGUUUUUAGCCUUUUAACAUUCAAGGAUUAGAGCUCCCUCUUUGCCCACUAGCAGGGCAUUAGCUGGUGCUGAAGACAGUGGCUGCUUGGCGAGCCUGGAUCUCCAAGUGACCCCCUCAGCAACUCCUGAUGAACAGGACUGAAGCCAAUAUUAAAGCAAGUCAACCAAAGGUUCUCUGGUGUAGACAAGACAGCAAAAGGACAGACUACCUUGUGGAACCUAGCAUUGUUCUCCUUCUGCAGCACUAAGUAACAUUUGUUCUCCGUUAAGAUCUUUGCAAACCACACACAAGAAUUGCUGGUCAUCCUGCCAAUAGAUGCUGCUCACAGAACCAAAUUUCCUGUGCUGAAUUGUCACUCAUGGGCCUGAGAGUAGGAGACUGGAGACCAAGGUGGCUAGAAUCCAGUUGGGCCUGAUGUCUCCCUGUUGAAAGGGCUCCUUGUGGAAUGAAUAGCACAUGGCUCCUGUGGUGGAUCUGAUAGUGGCAUAGCACCAAGUGAUGCAGGCCUGCCAGGGGCCACAGACACAGAAGAUGCUCCCGGGGUCCCCCAUGUACUCCAGACACACUGCAGGCCACCUCUCCCAGCAGGUUGCCAGUCAUGGGCCCCAUCAUCAUGACUUCUGUCCAAGGUACUGUGUGCAGAAAUGUGAUUGAGAUUCAAGUCAGGGCCUCUCUGCCCUUUUCCCUCCAGAAACAAAACCAAGAUAAUUUAUCCUGAACACGGUGAAAAAAGGAAGGGAGGGAGGAGAAAAAGUCCGGGUCUCACCUGGGAUUCUCUGUCUCCUGCAACAUGAAGGAUUUAGCCUGGGAGGAGGUGGUGAGAACUCUGGGAGAGAAAAAAGAAGGAAAGAAUAGUUUUACCCAUGCUGAAGUUAAUUUAAACCUUCACCUAGAGAAGCAAAAAAAAAAACCCACACUUUCCCAUUUUGUGCCUCCCUUCCUAGAGUUUUAGCCAAAGGUUUAGCUAAGUAAUUGGUUUUACCAGGGCACUCACUCCUCCUAUCCCAAGUCUGUUUGACUCCCUCCCCAUCAUCCUCCUCACCUCUUUUCAGGCAGGGUGGGGAUAGCAGCAGGAGGAGAUUUUGGGAGCCUGGCAACUCCUGCAAGGACCGCAGGACAGCCCCUCUGUGGGGAUGCGUGGUGCCCCAUCUGCCGCCCUUCUGAAGAAUGCACUGCCUUCACUUUUUACUGUGUUAGAGUCCAUCCAGACUGUUCUAUCCAAAAAAGUUUCUUUUUCCCCCACAGGCAAUCAGGAAAUGAUUCCUUUCCCGACUGCUUCUGUCUAGUGCCUGGGAAUCUUGAGUCAAUCCCUCAGUAAGUCAGUGACUAGGGAAAUCCCUCUCUGAGACUCCCAGUUCAUGUUGCUUAGGGAACCUGAUAUUUUCGUGAAACCUGCCUACACAUGGGCAGCCCAACAGCAGAACAAAUGGUGGUGACCAAAGUGAACAAAGAAGUAUAGUUGUGCCAGCUUCGUAGUUGCCCAUGUGGACAAGUCAGCAGGAUCAGGACACGAGGAAGAGUAAAUGUGAGACAGUCAAUGUGACUUCUGCGAUAAACAGAUUUUUAAACCCCGAAAUUUUGCAAAAUUUUGGUGAAACCUGAACUUUCUUCGUUGCAUAUACUGGCACUAUCUGUACCAUCAUACAACCGUCUCACAUUAAAGCUAUUUUUCUUGGGCACUGAUGAGUAAGGUUGGUAUGUUUGAGUUCCUCAGAUCAACAAAAACCCAUUUUCCUGUAAGUCUUACAUUUAGUAUUUAAGGAACUAAAACUUAAAUACAUUUUGUGAAAUGGUUGACACUUCACUGAUAAUGAUUUAUUGCUUGGAUUAAUAAAUUUUCCAAAAGUUGUCUUAUGUAGAAUAUGGUUUGCAACCAGCAGAACCAUUAAUCUAUACUGCAAUGAUAUGCACUAUGUAUAAUUGUUUAAAAGCCUCUACUUAAUGAUGUAAAAUGCUCUAUUUAAUUACACAUUUGGGUAAACUGUAUACUAACAUCUGAUGGCAUUUUUCCACUGUUUGUUGCUUUUUUCAAAUACUUUAUUGUACAAAGCUGUUCUUAAUAUUUUUCAAGUUUUUUUCUUUGAAUUUUGCUAAUGUUUUCCUUGAAUUAUGAGCACUGACAGAAUGUGCUUAGCACUUUUGGCUAUUCACACAGCUUUUGAGCAUGAUUUGCAUCCAAUAUUUACAUUGCUAGCAAUAAUAAGCCAUCUGUGAGUUUUGUCAAAAGUUAUUGGGGAUUUUUUAAAUUUUAGAAAUGCAAAUUAUUGUUUCUUUGAACUAACUCUUAUGCAGUUGCAAAGGCAUUUCCAGUUGUUAUAGUUUGUGUACAAUAUCAGGUGUUCCAGAUUAUGAUUCAUUAUUAAUAUCAUUGCUUCCUUGUUCCCUCUGAGGUCCAGAAGAUUCAUGUUUACAAUAUUUAGAAACAAUGUUAAAAAGGU
rnacentral:misc_RNA from 1 species